rnacentral:lncRNA from 1 species
UUUUUUUUUUUUUUUUUUGAGAUGGAGUCUUGCUCUGUCGCCCAGGCUGGAGUGCAGUGGCAUGAUCUCAGCUAACUGCAAGCUCUGCCUCCCAGGUUCACCACAUUCUCCUGCCUGAGCCUCCUGAGUAGCUGGGACUACAGGCACCCGCCACCAUGCCCGGCUAAUUUUUUGUAUUUUUAGUAGAGAUGGGGUUUCACCAUGUUAGCCAGGAUGGUCUCGAUCUCCUGACCUUGUGAUCCGCCCACCUCUGCCUCCCAAAGUGCUGGGAUUAUAGGCAUGAGCCACCGUGCCUGGCCAAUAAGUAUUUGUUGACCUAAGUUGAAUGCUAAGUCAGAGGAGCUCAGAGCAAUGUUCACAUGAGCUCUGCUUACCACUUCAUCUCUAGAGUAUAGGAAUGCAUGUAUACUACAACUGGCCAUAAGCCACAGAGGAGAAACCCGGAAGCCAGCCUUCUAAUUUAUAGUUCUGAUAGCCCAUGUAUGAUUUGACUGUGUGUCAGAAUCUCUAUCAGCAGGUAAGGAAACAACAGCAUAUAAAGGCAUCUUGGACUUUCUCCCUUGCUACAUUUUGAAAAAUGAAGAACUUCCCAUCAGGUGAGCAAAGAGUUGAUAAUGCAGAGGCACAAAGGGUAUACCUUGUUUCUAUUCUGGAAGUCUAUCCCAGGAACCUGCUUUCACUGAGAGUUUGAAGGGGCUUAGGGUGAAACAGCUAUAAAGACAAUUAGGAGAAAAGCAAAACAAAACAAAUAAUACAAAACCUCUCUGAGAUAUUGAAGAUAAUAUACUAGCAAGGGUCAUAAACUCGAAAACCUGAUUGUAUUAGUGCAAUCCUCUGCCAAUUAGCUAAACUUAUCUUCUUUCAGUACCCAAUGAUUUUAAGCUUUAAAUGUUGGUAAGUACAAUAUUUUUGGAACAGCUUUAAUCAGCUAAGUUGGCAGUUUAGCUUAUUUAUUUUAUUCAGUGUCUUACUGUUUCUACUUCUUUUAUAUCCAAAAAGUGUUUGAGUUGGUACAUUUAGUUAUAAAGGCAUUUAACAUUUAUAUAAAGGCAUUUACAUUUUAAAUUAAGACACAAGAAAUUCUAAAUGGUACUUGAGAUACCCUUGAGAGAAGCAUCUCAUUUCUUGUAUUUGCAGAUACCUCAUAUAUUUAUAAAUCAACUCUUUUGCAUAUUUAAGUCAGACAAAAAUACAAAGAGGCACAAUGUCUCUCAUUAGAGAAAAAUGCAAUUAUUCUACUUAGUUAUGUUUUUAAAAUAGCCUGACAUUUAAAAUAAUAGAUGAAUAUAUAAUUUGCUCAGCAGUAAUGGUUAGUUCCCUUGGAGGUAUCAUCAGUGUUUUAUAAGUUACUAUUUCAGAGGAGUUUCAUGAAUGCAAAGAUUAAAGCUAG